rnacentral:rRNA from 1 species
GACAUGCAGAGAACUUUCCAGAGAUGGAUUGGUGCCUUCGGGAACUCUGACACAGGUGCUGCAUGGCUGUCGUCAGCUCGUGUCUGAGAUGUUGGGUUAAGUCCCGUAACGAGCGCAACCCUUGUCCUUAGUUACCAGCACGCUAUGGUGGGCACUCUAAGGAGACUGCCGGUGACAAACCGGAGGAAGGUGGGGAUGACGUCAAGUCAUCAUGGCCCUUACGGCCUGGGCUACACACGUGCUACAAUGGUCGGUACAAAGGGUUGCCAAGCCGCGAGGUGGAGCUAAUCCCAUAAAACCGAUCGUAGUCCGGAUCGCAGUCUGCAACUCGACUGCGUGAAGUCGGAAUCGCUAGUAAUCGUGAAUCAGAAUGUCACGGUGAAUACGUUCCCGGGCCUU